CAGAGUCCUUACAGCUAACUGCUCCAUACCUGUUUUGGAAACAGAUAUGGUAUCAUGAAGGACUUGAUGCAUAGCUAAAAUGAGUUCAGCACAUUAUCCUUCUCUUUAUUUAGAGUCUGUCUUGCAGAGCGUGCGAGGUGAGCCAAUAUCACAUUGCCGCAGUCCACUGGUCACGUUUGAGAAUGAGGCUCCAAGAUUGUGACAGGCACGCCGCAGCUGAAACCGGGAGGAAACCGGAGUGCCCGGAGAAAACCCACACAGGCACGGGGAGAACAUGCAAACUCCACACAGGCGGGGCCGGGGAUUGAACCCGAGUCCUCAGAACUGAAUGUCCGGAUUCAGCUCCUGCACGCUCAAGCGUGGUACACGGCCCUGACCCCAGAACACUCGGAAGAAGUGGACUUGAGCAUGGUACACUUAUGCGAAUGUAGGAGGAAGCUGGAGUGCCCGGAGAAAACGUACGCAAGCACAGCUGAGAUCAUGCAAACUGCACACUGGAAGGCCAGAGCCAAGAUUCAAACACUGAACCUCAGAACUGUGAGGCAGACGUACUAACCAGCAGGAACGCCUUGCGCGUCCUCCAGCGUGACGUCCACAGUUGACCUCAUCAAAACGUCCACCCCUGUCAUAGCUGUGUGCAACAGCGUUUCCAACCUGCAGCCCCAACGAAGGGAGUUCUUGGACGUAUUGC